rnacentral:lncRNA from 1 species
CUGUACCCUUCGUAUGCAAAGGUAUUGGUCCUGUUCUGCCGCUUGCACAACUUGCAAUACACAAUUCCGUGGUCCUGGUUCUGUACGCCCUCUAUCACCUGCCAGCCACAAUCCACACUCUCACUGCUGCACCUAAAGUGCUCCUUUGCGGUUUAUGAUAGCUUUCCAUGAUGCCUGCAUUAUUGCACAAAGUUGGAAAUGAGAUUGGAUUCCUUUGCAUGAUCUCAAUGCAUGCAACAGACCUGAGGCCAGAAGGUGCCGUCCGGCAGGCGGAAAGUCUCCUCUGUCUCCCACUUGCGCUUGGCAAACUCGAAAUAGUAUGUUGGCUUCUUUUUGUCUUCGCUGUCAGCCGCUGUGUUGCCCCCUGACGACCCGGGUUCGGCCCCUUGCUCUGGGGUUGCCUCUGGAUUUAAUAAAGGCGAUGGUGCCACAGGUGUGGCUGCAACUGGAGUGAGCUGCUGCUCUCCUGCUGGCUCGGCUGCCGGGAUCAGCGGCUGCGGUGCUGGGAUCUGCGGGAGUUCAGGUGGGUCUGCACAUGCAAGGACAUAUCAGCGUGAUCAUCAGCGUGAUCUUGCUCCCUUACAUUGCAGAGAUCUGAACACAACUUCUCCCAUGCUCUUGUAAUAACAAUGCAAUCCUAGGGAAGGAUUGACAAGCAAGAAGGGCCGGGCAGAAGCACAUGUGCGACCCGAAAACAUGAUGGGGCUCAAUGCAGGCAUGAUGCCCUAUGGCACCCAUCAGUUGUGGUCGAUGUGGAGUGACUGAAAGAGGAGUUGCUAUUACCUGCUACUGGAAGGGACUGGAUGAUGCCGCUGUCUGGCCACUGAGCAGGAGGGUGAGGCACUGGCUGGGGUGACUCUGUCCUGCAGGGUUGAACAGGGAGAAUUGUAUCACACCCAAGAUUUUCUGCACAAAUUGUAGGAGAAAGUAAGCUCAAAUCUCCUGUGUCGACGUCAUCGUGUGCUGUGGAGUCUCAGCCUGUCAUCAGAUGCAAUUCCCACGCAAUCAUGUCUCAUCUUCCUGUUUGAUGACAGAUGACUUCGUGCACGUUGCGUUGGAAAAUCCACGAGGUCCAUUUGUGCUUCAUAAAAGCUCACCUGGCCCUCUUCAGGUCCCUGA